UACGUAGGGUGCGAGCGUUAAUCGGAAUUACUGGGCGUAAAGCGUGCGCAGGCGGCUUUGCAAGACAGAUGUGAAAUCCCCGGGCUCAACCUGGGAACUGCAUUUGUGACUGCAUGGCUUGAGUGCGGCAGAGGGGGAUGGAAUUCCGCGUGUAGCAGUGAAAUGCGUAGAUAUGCGGAGGAACACCGAUGGCGAAGGCAAUCCCCUGGGGCCUGCACUGACGCUCAUGCACGAAAGCGUGGGGAGCAAACAGG
rnacentral:rRNA from 1 species